GGAGGCGGGGAUCCGCCGCCUCGCGCUGGGAGGUCGAUGGCGUGACCUUCCCUGCGCGCGUCCUGUGCUUGUUAAUCAACAGGACCACACGAGUAUGGUUUCCCCUGUCGUGCACCGGAGAUUUCCAGGUGACUUACGCUGGGACUCGCCGCCGGUGGGGGGCAGCCCCUCACCUGAAUGUCGCCCUGAGCCCUGCCCCGGGCCGGCUUCCUCGCCCAGGCCGCCUCUGGUCUCCGCGCAGUUACGAGAGCGGAGAGCCGAGAAAGACGUCACGGAAUUACGAAUACAAAAGGAGGCGGGAAAGUGAACAUGCGUUUAGAAAGGAGGAAUACGAUAAACGUCACUGAAUCCAGGAAAAUAAUAAUACGAGAAUGGAUAAUUCAGCAUCAUCACUGAGCCGUAUUUAUGUGCUUGUGCGGUUACCACAAUGUGUGAUAAAAACUGAAGCCCGUGCAUUGGCCCACUGGUCUCCCAGUCCUUUCUGACCAGCUUUCCCCGUGCCGUGGUCCAAAGUAGCCGCCCAGCUCAGGAAGAAGGAGCCCGGAACGAUGCUCCUAAUUUGACACCAUCCCUACGGAACACCACUUCCACCCGGCACCCCACCCUAGUAGCCUAAACCUGUGGCCUCAGGAACCAGACCAGCUAUGCAGACUCCUCCCCCACCACCCCCAUCGCCCAGUAACGGGGAAGGAUCACAAAUCAGCUCCUUCCCGGGCAGCGGAAGUAGGUGGGUUCCGCACCUCUGAGUCUUUCGGGGUUUUGGUAGGCGGCAAGGAAGAGGGUGAUGCUCGGCUGGGCAGCAGCAUCUCCGCCUCUGGCUGCGCUUGCACAGCGCCCCCUGCUGGCCCAGCCAGAAUUUUCACCCCUCAAAGCGCUGUUCAAAUUACAGGUAUAUAUAGGAAAUAAUUCUCAUUUGAAUGAUUUUAUAUCAGUUCUCAUAAAAUGUGCCUCAAUUUUAUAAAAUUUUAUAUAAUAAGUGGAGAUUUAUUCUGCACAGAGUUGCUGUAUGCAUAAUUUCAUGUUGGAAAGGUGUGGAAAUGUCACCACCAGUGAUAUUUCUGUGGUUGGAGAAGCACAGCUUUUGGCUGGUCCCUUUGUGGACACAGAAACUGCUGUGUAACAGUGAAAACGUCAUUCCGGAUGAAUUAUCAACCACAACCAUCAAGGCAAUACGUUUGGCUGCCAAGAAAAGGGUUUACUUUCUUCUGUUGUUUCAGGGCUGAUGGAAGUGAAGAGGGUGUAAAUAGCCAACAACAAAUUGACUUUCCAAAAGAUGUCAGUCAAAGCUCACAAAAUGUGUUUAUUCUUUGAUUUAAUGAGCCUUCUUUUUGAGAUCUAUCCUAAGUAGUUAAGGUUGUUGGCAAGGAUUUAGCUGUAGGAUCUUUAGUGAAGCACUGUUUAUACAGUAACUCUCCUCCAUAACGAACCUUCAAGUUUCGAACUUUCAAAGAUGCGAAAGUACGUUCACGUGUUCAAUCACAUAACUUAGUUCACGUGUCUGGCAUACAUUGUUAUGUGCGUGCAUUCUCCACACGUGGUUGUGCUUUUGUGUACUUUACUGUACAGUACUGUUGCUGUGCAACACGAGGAGCUUACUAAUGAAGACCUGAAGGAAUUGGAGGCCCAGAGAAAGGAUAAAUAUAGACAAGAGGAAGAAGAAGUAACUGAAGAACAAAAGAGAUUCACGAUGUAGGAAGUAGCAAGGGGAUUUUCUUUAUUUGAGGAGGCACCGUUAGUUUUUGAGGCACAGGACCUGAACGUAGAACAGUACACGAAGGUUGCAGCAGCUGUUCAGAAUGUAAUCCAGUGCUACCGUGUCAUCUAUGACGAGAAGAAAGAGCUACUACCCAGACGUCACUGGAUCAUUUUUUCAAGAGGGUAGAUAGAAUUGAAUCCAGCAAGGAACCAGACGUGUGCUAUCAACGUCAGGCAUGAGUGAAAUUGCAGCUUGCUCUCCGUCUCCUAUUGCUGAUGACCCUUCAGCUCUACCAUCUCCCACCUCCUCUCCCUCCUCCAGUCAGUAACUCUUCUUGCCUGUUCACUCGAUGCCAGCCCCUGGAUGCCAGCUGUUGUACUGUACUACUGUACUUUUCAAGAUACUGUACUGUAAGAUUAAAAAUGUUUUCUUUA